rnacentral:rRNA from 1 species
GGACUACUGGGGUAUCUAAUCCCGUUCGCUCCCCUGGCUUUCGCGUCUCAGCGUCAGAAAGGGUCCAGGCGCUCGCUUUCGCCGCGGGCGUUCCUCACGAUCUCAACGCAUUUCACCGCUCCACCGUGAGUUCCAGCGCCCCCUACCCCCCUCCAGGACGGUCGUAUCGGUGCCACUUCCCCGGUUGAGCCGGGGGAUUUCAGCGACCGACGUGCCGUCCCGCCUACACGCGCUUUAAGCCCAGUGAUUCCGAAUAACGUUCGCACGGUUCGUCUUACCGCGGCUGCUGGCAC